rnacentral:rRNA from 1 species
CGCCUGUUUAACAAAACAUAGUUUAUGGCUUAAAAUGUCUUAAAUAAAUUCUGCUCAAUGAAAAUUAAAUAGCUGCAGUAAAUUAACUGUACUAAGGUAGCACAAUAAAUUGUUUUUUAAUUAAAAACUAGAAUGAAUGAAUAAAUGGAAUACUAACUUCUUAAACAUUAAAAAGUAAAAAUUAAUCAUUAAGUCAAAAAUCUUAAAUAAUCUAGAAAGACAAAAAGACCCUUUAGAAUUUUAUUAUUAUCAUUAACCUUAACGUUAAUAUAACAAUUUAGUUGGGGAGACUAAAAAACUCAAAUUUUUUUUUUUACAGCACUUUAUAAGUGACUAUUAAGAAUCCAUAAAUGAAAAAAAACCAAAUUACCUAAGGGAUAACAGCGUAAAGUUUCUUAAAAGAUCACAUUUACAGAAUAUAUUACGACCUCGAUGUUGGAUUAAGACAAAUUUAAAAAGCAGAAUUUUUAGAUAUGGGUCUGUCGACCAUAACACAUGAUCUGAGUUCAAACCGG